CAGUAGCCGCGGUAAUACGUAGGGUGCAAGCGUUAAUCGGAAUUACUGGGCGUAAAGCGUGCGCAGGCGGUCCGUUAAGACAGAUGUGAAAUCCCCGGGCUUAACCUGGGAACUGCAUUUGUGACUGGCGGGCUAGAGUAUGGCAGAGGGGGGUAGAAUUCCACGUGUAGCAGUGAAAUGCGUAGAGAUGUGGAGGAAUACCGAUGGCGAAGGCAGCCCCCUGGGCCAAUACUGACGCUCAUGCACGAAAGCGUGGGGAGCAAACAGGAUUAGAUACCCCGGUAGUCCCUGUCUCUUAUAC
rnacentral:rRNA from 1 species